CAGUGCAGUUCUCCUCUGGCAUGGAUGCUAAUGUAGCAGGCCCUGCACAAUGGACUAUGCUAUCACUGUCCCUGCCAAAGGAGAAUUACCCUGCCAGUGC